CUGGCCUCUGUGUUUAAUGCGUCCCCUUCUGCCGAAGGUUAGGCAGGAUCUGGGAGAUGCCGUGACUGACCGAGGCUGGGAUGGGACGGACCAAGGGGGCAGGAGGCCCGGGUCCCUGUGGUCGCCACCCCAACUUCCCCCAGGGAUCUCCAGCUGCCUGAAGCCUCAGAGGGUGUUCAUCAGACGCCCGCACAGGCCUGAGGCUCGCCUCUCUGCUCUGGGCUCACCCAUUGCUGUCGCCUGGCAGGAACCAAAGCACAGUGGGCUGCCUGCACCAGGGGCUGGGAGGCCACGCUCCCCAGAGCAGUGGCCGCUGCUAGUGGAAGGCAGCGUCCCCCCCAAGGACCUGCUCGCUGACCCGGGGCAGGGGUCUCCAGUGGUUCCCCCAAGAGGCCUCCGUGUCCCCAGGACAUGCCCAUCCGUCCUCAGCCGGACCACCUGCAGGGCCCUGGGAGCCCGGGCAACAUGGCGUCUGGAGACACUGGGCUCACACGGUGGAGACACGGAGGGAGACGCUGAAUAUUCAUCGCCGAAGUGGACAUCCUCGCUCCCUACCCAGUCCUGGUGGGAGGACCCUGUCUUUCUCCAUCAAGCACGGUGUUGGCCGUACCUGCUGGGAGUUCGCUGGUAGGCCCAGCUCCUGCUAGAGAGCCCGGCGGUCACUGCCCCCAGGGAAGAGGUCUUCUGACCGGAAGGUAAGGGGCGGUCCGGGCCGUGGUCCUGGGGGGGAGCCCCAUUCUCCAGGAGCAGGUGGAGGAGCCCCGAGGGCCCCAGCCCUGCUCGGACUUUCCAGAGCCCUCACCUCACCCCCAAACGCCUGCGGCCAGAGCAACCACACGGGCACCGUGACAGCAGCAGCCCCUGGGUUUGAGCAGCACCUGGCCCCUCCCGUCCGGUCUUCACAGAACACCUGUCAGGAAGGACGUGCACCCAUCUGCUCCAGGUCCCCGACGCCAGCUGUGGAGAGUGACUGGCAGAGCCCCACCUUCCUGGCUUAGUAAAUGCAGCCUUUACACAUUCGCUUUAAAAAAAACAAACAGGGGCUUCCCUGGUGGCGCAGUGGUUGAGAAUCUGCCUGCCAAUGCAGGGGACACGGGUUCGAGCCCUGGUCUGGGAAGAUCCCACGUGCCACGGAGCAACUGGGCCCGUGAGCCACAACUACUGAGCCUGCGCCUCUGUAGCCUGUGCUCCGCAACAAGAGAGGCCGCGAUAGUGAGAGGCCCGCGCACCGCGAUGAAGAGUGGCCCCCACUUGCCGCAACUAGAGAAAGCCCUCGCACAGAGACGAAGACCCAACA